rnacentral:other from 1 species
CAUCCUCUGCGGUGCGCGUCAGUGGGCCAGGAUAAUCCUUGACCCUAACGCGAUCGCCACGGGAGCGCCCGCCUGGUGUCCGUGUGCAGGUCCGCCGCGAGCGGAAAGCCUAACGACGCCUUGGGUCCUCCCACCUGAACCUUUCGGUUCAAGGGCGACGGUCCCGACGGCUCGCGCGGAGGAUGC